GGAUAUUUCAAACUUUUUUAACAAAUCAAAAACUGAAAAAUUGGGCGUGCAAAAUUAUUCAGCCCCUUUACUUUCAGUGCAGCAAAUAAAUGUCGUUCCACUUCAUGAUUGUGUCCCACUUGUUGUUGAUUCUUCACAAAAAAAUACAGUUUUAUAUCUUUAUGUUUGAAGCCUGAAAUGUGGCAAAAGGUUGCAAAGUUCAAGGGGGCCGAAUACUUUCGCAAGGCACUGUACAUGAGCUGUAACCUGAUUUUAACUGUGCAUUUAUGUGAGAAGUUAGAGUAUGUGGACCGUGUUGUAUACCUGUGCCCAGGACACAGCAAACUUACCGGGGUCCAGGGCCAGCUCCGUUUUGACCCCUUAGUUGGCCAGCCCAAGCAGAUUAUUGACUUGUUCAGUUCAUGGUGACAAAAAAUAAUAUAAAAACAAAAAGUACAAAGAGGGCAUGCCCCAAAACUUAAGCUAACACAAAACAAACACUGCCAGGCCGAGAGGCUUGUGGCCACCUUUCUCUGAUUGACGAUAAUCUCAAUUGCUCACACCUGUGUGUUUAUCAAGGCUUCCUGGCAGAGCACAGGACCUGACUCGGGACCUGACCCCAUUUCAUAACAAUAUACAGUACAUGCAGUGCAAAAUACUUUAAUGUACAUGUUUUCACGGAUUUCAGUGCAAUUGAACAUUCACAUAACAUCAUGUGCAUGUAUUUUUUAAUAUGUGUACUGCAAUGCACUACUAGAUAAAACAGUCAGUAAAGCAUUUAUAAGUGUCAGAGUUGCGAUAUUUAAAAUACAAAGUUAAUGUUAGAUUUCAAUAAUACACGGCAGUGCUGUUACAGAACAUCCAUUACUACAUUCCAAUUUAGUUUGGUUUGUUCUGACGACACAAACCAAAGCCUGAUAAAAUAAUAAGAUUGAUGUGAUUAUUUUCAGAGUGACGUUUAUCUUUAGGAUGCUCACCACAACAUGCAUUUAUAAGACAAUGUAUUCAUAAUGCGUAGUUGCAUUUUCAAUUACCAUAACACCUUGAGGGAAACAAUGACAACUGGGUCGUUCUUGAAUUGCAGUGGCAUUUGGGGAUUUUGGAAAUGUCCAUUCUCUAGAUUUUAAAUAUUUAAAUGUAUUUGGGUACAUCUUCCCAUUUCAAAUCAACUAAGAGGGCAGCUUAAUGACUUUAAAUCAUUUCUACCAUUAUGAUAGAAUUGUGCCACAGUAGGAGUAAUAACACCAAUGAUGGUAACACCAAUGAUGGUAACACUAAUGACACAUUUUAGGUAAACUAGGAUUUUCUUAAAUGGAGGCCAUAGAAGGUCAAAUAUUACGUCUUUAACCCUUUAAAAAUAAUUGACUAAAGUGACAUGAUGAAUAAUUUUGCUCACAAUAUAAUUGCCCCUCAUUUACAUUUCAAUAGAGGCAACCACAUCAGGUGAGGCAACCCCAUAUCACAGUCAUAGUAAAUAUGCCACAUUAUAUGCCAAAUAGCCAACAUGGAUGGAAGUAUAUAUAGACGUUUAGUUGCUAAUUGAUUACAUAAAAAUGUAUCUUGAAUGUUGGCUGUAUGGUAUAUAUGAGGGAGGUGUGUCCCUUUCUGUCCAAUGAGGUCAUUAACAGGGGGGAAAAAAUCAGCAAGUAAAAAUAUAAUCACACUUCAGAAUAGGGAACAAGUAUUGAGGUGCUAUGCCCCUUAUUAGUCCCAGCUUGAGAUAGUUUCUUGUGUUACUUGAUAUUUAUUAACAAUAAAUAUGACUUUAUUAUAGCUAAUAAUGAGGUUAUUAUUACAUGCAUUAUAAUGUUUGAAUAACAAAUAAACUUAAUUAAGGAAUAAUAAAUGGCUAAUAACACAUAAUAAAGGCCUUAUAAGCUACUUAUAUACAUACUUAUAAGCUAGAAAUGAGUGGCUCAUAUGUGUACCUUCAAAUAAAGUGUCACCCUUGUUUGAAUUGUUGUUAUUAAUUGGCUCAAGGCUGCAUCAUUCGUGGGGGACGACAUGUUUACUGUUGCCUUGUAUAUCUUUGUAAUGAGUAAUGAGAUCAGCUUUAAUAUUGCAGAGAGAUUGUGACUUCUAUCAAUGUAAUUCUAAGCAUAAUUUCCAAUCCCCCAUAUAUUUUUUGGUAAAUAGAUAUUUGUAUUAUAUACAUUUGCCUUCUUUUUAAUAGCCUUUAUUUGUUUUCAUUGAACUAUACAAUAUUUUGUUGCUUUCUAGCAUUCAAAAUGGUAGAUAGAUUUCUCUUAAUGCCCAAAAUAUGUCACUACAAUGUGCUUGCAUUAAGUACUGCAUACAGUUUUGCAGUAUAAAGGACUUGCAUUUAUGUUGUAUCAUUGAUAAACAGUUCAAUAUAAACAAAAACAUGAAUGAUGUGCAAUUAUUUGUCCUUUUAAAGUGUUUUUCAUGGUUGCAAAGGCGAGGGACGCAAAUGCCACAGCAAUUCAAGAAUGACGCAACUACUUUGAAUACAUGUUCAGUCCCUUCAGAAUGUAUUCACACCCCUUGACAUUUUCCAUUGAAAAAGUCAAGGGGUGUGAAUACUUUCUGAAGGCAUUGUAUGUGUUAUUUAAUUUAAUUUCCAGUGUAAUUAUACACCAGGCCACUUUGAAAUGUGAAUGUUUUGGCUUGGAGUGUGAGAGCAUGUCCACCUUACAGUGUGUAAGCAUGUGCUCUUGGCUACUCUCUCCCUUGUCACUACUGGAGCUGGCAUCCUCUGCUACAGUCCUCUUCAGGGCUGUUGUUCUCAGAUGACUCAGGGCUUUCUUCAUCCACUGUCAAACACAAAAGAACCCAAUUAUCUCAAAACUUAUUCUCUAAAGGGGGGGUUAAAAUAAUUUGGUAAAAUAUUGAAUUUGGCCUUUACUACUAUAGCCCAAAGAAACACAUUAAUG
ensembl:lncRNA